rnacentral:rRNA from 1 species
CCUACGGGAGGCUGCAGUGAGGAAUAUUGGUCAAUGGCCGGAAGCCUGAACCAGCCAAGCCGCGUGAGGGAGGAAGGCCCAGAGCGUCGCAGACCUCUUUUGUCGGGGGACAAAAGGCCGGACUCGUCCCGUUCUGAGGGUACCCGCAGAAAAAGCAUCGGCUAACUCCGUGCCAGCAGCCGCGGUAAUACGGAGGAUGCGAGCGUUAUCCGGAUUCAUUGGGUUUAAAGGGUGCGCAGGCGGGCCUUUAAGCCGGCGGUGAAAUCGCGGGGCUCAACCCCGCCGAGCCGUGGAAACUGGUGGCGUGGAGUGCGGGAGAGGGAUGGGGAAUGCGCGGUGUAGCGGUGAAAUGCAUAGAUAUCGCGCAGAAGCCCGAGUGCGAAGGCAGCGUGCCGG